rnacentral:sRNA from 1 species
AAGCCAGCCCGGUUAUCCUGUUACCUCCUAAGCCCUCCCCAAGCUCCCGCUCUCCUCCCGCCGCCUCUUUUUCAGUCCUCCCUGGGAGUGUUUCUCCCGGUGGUAAGGAGGGGCAGAGACUUUCCCCACAACCUACGGCCCCCAGCCCUCCGUACAUUCCCACAAGCGCUUACUACCUGCCAGGGGCCUGAGUGGCCGAGCCCCGAGGAAUGCAACCGAGGAAUGUGCAGUCUGGCCUCACUCAUCCUGCACUUACUGCACUCUAAGCUGCAGGCAACAGCCAGCCUCCAGCCCCACCUUUGCCACUGACUGGCUGCCCUCGGCCCGAACACGGCUUUGCUCGUCCCACCCUGACCAGACCUAGCCCCUCUUAGAGAGAAGCCGCAAGUGGCAGGGCUGGGCCGGGCCCCACGCGGGCCUCCUGGGGCUAGCCUGUACCUGCCACCCACCCAGGACUGAAGCCAGCUUCAUCUGUGUGUUCCAGGCGGAGAUCGUCAAAAGGCUGAACGGGAUUUGUGCCCAGGUCCUGCCCUACCUCUCCCAAGAGCACCAGCAGCAGGUCUUGGGAGCCAUCGAGAGGGCCAAGCAGGUCACCGCUCCCGAGCUGAACUCUAUCAUCCGAGUACGUAUGGGGACCUGGGCGGGUGGGUGGGGGACAGCUGGGCCCCAGGCAGCUAACGUUCCCCUCCCCCGCCCUGCAGCAGCAGCUCCAAGCCCACCAGCUGUCCCAGCUGCAGGCCCUGGCCCUGCCCUUGACCCCACUGCCCGUGGGGCUGCAGCCGCCUUCGCUGCCGGCGGUCAGUGCAGGCACCGGCCUCCUCUCGCUGUCCGCACUGGGUUCCCAGGCCCACCUCUCCAAGGAAGACAAGAACGGGCACGAUGGUGAUACCCACCAGGAGGAUGAUGGCGAGAAGUCGGAUUAGCAGGGGGCCGGGACGGGGAGGGUGGGAGGGGGGACAGAGGGGAGACAGAGGCAUGGAGAGAAAGGAAUGUUUAGCACAAGACACAGCGGAGCUCGGGAUUGGCUAAACUCCCAUAGUAUUUAUGGUGGCCGCCGGCGGGGGCCCCAGCCCAGCUUGCAGGCCACCUCUAGCUUUCUUCGUACCCCAGUCCCGGCCUCCCUCCUCCCCCGCAGCCUGGAUAGGUGGAUGCCUGCCCUGACACGUGAGGCAAGCUAAGGCCUGGAGGGU